GUUUUAUCUUUCUCUCGUUUCUUCUUCUCUGUUCUACUUUCUUUAUGAUGAUUCGAUUUCCAAUUAUUGAUUCUAAAGUUCUUCGGUUUUUUGAAAUCCCUUGCUAAAGUUUUAUUGCUACGUGAUUUCUUGAUUUCAGGUUUUGCUGUUGUUGAUUUUUUUUAUCUAUUGCUAUGAAGGAGCCCUCGUCAUGGAUUUUCGGAUUAUAGAUAUCUAAAGAAUUUCCGAGGUGAAUCUAGAUCAGUUUUGCGAUUGUUGAUAUUGUGUGGAUAACAACAGAGAACGGUUCCAGAUAAAUUGAAUUGAACUGUGAACAUGAUUCUAAAUUGUCCUUGGUUUUCACGUUUCUUGAUUGUUUACUCUCUGAGAAAUCUUGAUUUCAGGGAUGGCUGUUCUUGUUUUCUUUGAUCUGCCGCUAUAAACGUGGUUUUCUCAGAUUGUAGAUAUCAAGAAUUUCACUUCUAUUCACUCUUCUUUUAACCUUCAUUGGUUAUCCAUAAUUAGUUCAAUAACUUUUGAAUAUGAUUCUUCAAUUGAUAAUCGGGUUAUGCAUUUAUCCGUUUUGCUUUUGCAGUGAGCUGAAAAGUUUUUGAUGUCUAGAGCAGACUUGAUACAAUAGAUAAGAUUGGAGAACGGUCCCCGAUAGAUAAAUAAAAUUUCUUCAAUGAAUCUUUUUGUACUACUAUUUAUUUUUUGGAUUUGAUUUUAAGACGCGAAAUUGAAUUAAGAACUUGUUUUUCUGCAGUGUGGUUUGAUGUAUCAUCUUGUUUUCACAGGGUGCCACAAAAGUCUUCUUUCACAAUCACCUUGUUAACUUUUCUUUCUGAAGUGGAUAAAUUAAAGAUGAGUGCCUGAAUUACCUUGUCAUGUUUGGCUGGCUGUGGUAUAUAUUUUCAACUAUUGUUGGGAUUAAUUUGGUGAUGUGAAUUUAUAUUUUAACAUCUAUGCUUACAUGAUUCUUGAUUAUUCUCUGCUAUCUUGGGCGAGAUUAUCUGAUAAUGGUUAUUCUUUGAUCAUGUUCAAGAUGGUGUUGAUUGUCUAUCCAGAACCUUUGUACUACUCUAGCAUAGAUUACAGGAUUUUUGAAUGAUUCUUUGGCCUUCCCAAGAUUAGGAAUUUUGGACAACUGGAUAUAAAUUUGACUCUGAUGAUUUGUUUGUUGGUGAUAACUUAACUUUGUUGGGGUGGUUUUCUAAAUCUUCAUUACUGUUUUGUUGUUUUUAUUGUGAUUUGUGAUUUAUGAUGAUGAUGAUGAUGAUGAUGAUGAUGAUGAUGAUGAUGAUGAUACUCAUAAAAAAGAUACCCUCUUUAUUAUAGUGGCCAAAGGACUCUUCUGUAUUUGGAAGAAGCCAAAAUCAUGUCAUUUCACAUGGGUACAUGAUUGCAAAUUGGAUGGAAAUUUGGUCAACUCUUCUAAGACUCUUCUUUACAUUUCAGUUUUUUUAUACUCAACACGUACAAGGUCAGUUCCUUUGAGUUUUCCUUGUGGUUGUUAUAGGGGAGAGAGCCUAUAAAUGUGUGGUUCACUGUGGAAUUCGUGACAACUUGGUUGGCACCAGAAUCUGCAAUUGGCUGCUGUUGAUGUGGUGCUUUCAUUUGGUUAUCUCUACUCUGACUAUGCAUUCUACAUGUUUCUUUGUAUAUUUUUAGGAUAUAGUUUUCUUGAUUCCAAGUACCUGUUUUUGCUUUGGUGUUACAGAGGAGAGAGCUGUGAAUGUACUGUCUGAUUUGAAUGCUUUGAGCCUUUGGAUUCAAUGGGGUUACUUUUUUCCUUGAGUGUUUGUUCUGGAAUAGGUGUACUCCUAGUAUGGUGUGGCAGUGCUGGUAUUUAUUUAUGUUUAGAAUUAUGAAUUUGAGUAUUAGCAGUGUAUCUCUUUCUUGGAUAAUCAAGAUAUAAGUCUGUUUUGCAGUGAGUUGAACGUUUGUAGAUACUUGAUACAUUUUGUAGUGAGCUGAUCGAUUUUUGAUUUCUGGAUAUCUGGAACAAUUUGCAAGUAUUGAUGAUAAUGGAUAAGAAUGAUAAUGGCUAUAGAUACAUAGAUCAAGUUUCUUCACUGAAGUCAUUCUUUAUUAUUUUUAUUUUUGCGCUUUCAUUGUAAAAUACAAAUUGAAUUGUGAACCUGUUUUUCUGCAGUGUGGUUUGUCAAAAUAAUGAUGUUCUUUCAAUCAUAGCAUGGAGCCUCAAGCUUUGGUUUGCCUAUUUCUUUUUAAAACAUUCUCUUGAUAUUUUAUUCCCUCUGGUGAUGCAGGGACGAUAAUGAUUUUCUUUCUCUUGUUUGAUCUUCUGGUUUUGUAUUCUGAUUCUUUUCUCUUGUUUGAUCUUCCGAUUGCGAGGUUUGAUUUGGUUAUAGCUUUGAUACAUGUUAUUUUCUCCAGUGCAGUGUGUUUUGAAAUAAUAACAUUUUAUUAGCAUCAAACGAAUUAUUUUGGUACCUCUACUUGGAAUGCGAAUUAUUUUCAUUUCAUUUUUUCUCUGCCGAUUCUUAUUGUCUAGUCUUCUGGAUUUUCUCCUUUAUGAUUUACCAUCAAUACUUAUUAUUCUUAUGACGAUAGUAGAAUUUUUUUUUUGUUUGUGUAUUUUGGGACAGCUUGGUGGGCCUCUUGUUGUUAUGCUGAUCUGUGAAUUGGUUUCAAGAAUUAUGCUACUUUUAUUUCUUGGAUCUUUUUCUACAACCAGUUUGUUACAGUCAAGAAUGACUUCAUUAUUUUGAUCAAACAAGUGUUGUACCGGUAUGGUAUACCACAAGUUUCCUUCUUUCUCAAACACACUGCACAUUUUUAAUCCACUCAAGUUUCUUUGCCGCUUUGUGCCGCUUAUCUUCUGUAAACGAAUUAACCAUACACAUGAACCAUAAUGGUUAGGUGGCUGUAUUAUAUAUCUUUUUCUAGACUUUAAUUUGGUGAACUGUACUCAUAUUUGAAUUCUUUACAUUUCAUUAUAUCUGUUUCAGCAUACCCGCUUCUUGAUUCCUUUGUGGAAGUUUAUGGUGAGGUUAUCACAUACUUCUCUUUUGGAAAUAAUUGGUAAUUGAUAAGUUAUAUUUAUUUCUUUGAGCGUUGAAGUUUCUGUAACGUGAGUUUUACUCGGUUGUACGUUUAGCAUCUAAGAUUCUGUUGUAACUCUUCCUUUCCCAAGAUGAGGAAUUUUGGACAACAUGAUAUUGCAAAUUGGUGUAGUAUGCUUUAAUUUGGUCAUCUCUGCUAUAAGAAUUAGUAAUAUACACAUCUCUAUUUUGUUUUGGGAUUGAUGAUAUGUCUUGUGAUGGUGACAGCUUGGUUCUGUUAGUUUGCCACUUCCUUUGAAAGUGAGGAGGAAGCCCAAAUAAUUGUCAUUUAAUAUGGAGCACGAAUCUGCAAUUUGCUGUGCCAUAUGUUCUCACUGUCAUUAUGCAAAGCAUUUGGUUAUCUCUACUCUGGCUAUGAAUUCUUCACGUUUCUAUUUCUUGAGGAUUUAGUUUUCUUGAUUCCUAAAGUUUCAUGUGGGUGUCACAGAGAGGAUAUAUGAACUGCGAAAGCUGUGGCAGGAUUAUGACUUUUGCUGGUUGUUACUGUUGAAUUAUCUAUCCAUGUGAUGUGGUAAUGUUGAUUUGUGUGUGGUUUAUUAGGAAUCUAAGUAUUAGGAGAGCUUUAGAAUAUAUAAAUUUGUUGUACAUAUGUCUCUUUCAAGCUGAGAAGUUGAAUGGAUAUGACCAUGGGCUCUUCAUUGAAUUGUUUUUUUUUCUUCAGGCUUUGUUAUGGCUUUCUGUGUUGGAACAAUUGUUAUGGCUUUGUUAUGGUGACAAUUAUUGGAUUUUAAGUCAAUUUUACUUGAUUGGUUCUCUGUUGAUUCUUUUUGUUUAUUCUUCUCGAUUUACAGGAGAGAAAUAAAUGAAUGUCCGACCGGCAGAGAUUAUGAUUGGUCGCGGUUUGCUUUAAUACUACUUUUUAAGCCUUAACCUUUAUUUUCUUACAAUUGCCUGUCGUGCAUUUGGCUUUUCAUGUUUAGAAUAUGUGUAUAUUUUUCACUACUCAAUCUCAGGCCAUGAUUGGCGAACAAGUUAAUACUGACUCAUCUUAUCUUAUAUUUAGCACAUACAUCUUUCUAAAUAUACAGUGUUACAUAAAUUUGGCAAUGUUUUGUCUAUAUUAAUGUAUUCUUGAAGUGUCAAUUAAUCAUCAAGAACUAACUCAUUAUUUGCACAACUAAAAUGAGAAGAACGAUUCUUAUUCCUGUAUACUGAAAUCACAAUAUAAUAGUACUAGAGGCCUACUGCAUUGAUUCUUAGAGCUAUAUUUCUUGAUUUUUUGAUCCAUUGACUAGAUUGAUUGCUCGUCGAGGCUAUAAACAAACUUACAUUUGUGUAUUUGUUUUUGGGAUACUCAGUGUCUACUUUUACAGUUCCUUUGAGUUUUCUGUGUGGGAGCGGUACACAUUUACUUUCCGUUCGUGGUUUGCUUGGGAUCCAGUGGCAGGAAAAAGGUUCACAUACUUUCCGUUCUGCCAUGGGAUAAAACAAUCGUUUUACUUACAUGUGUAUUUGUUUUGGUAUAGUGUUUGGAGCAUGAGUAUGAAGCAUUUAAGAUUCCAGAGUAAAUCUAUUUGCCAUCCCCAAGGAUGAGGAACUAGACAAGCUUGGUUAGACACUUUUUUGAAGAAUUCUUUGCAUAAUUAUUGGAUAUAAUUCUUUAUUGGAUAAUCAAGACAUGUGUUUAUCGGUUUUGCAGCGAGAUGAAGUCAUUGGAUUUGUAGAACAUUUUGUGAUUCUUGAUUAAAUGGAUAAGAACAGAUAACGUUUUCGAUAAAUCAAUUUUCUUCAAUGAGUCAUUCUUCCUAAUUUCUAUUUAUUUGCUUCGAUGGCAAGACAUACGAAUUGAACGGUGAAUUUUUUUUUUCUGUAGCGCGCGGCUUCUUCGUAGCAUGGUGCCUAGAGUUUUACUUUGGUGAUCUCUAGUAAUUCUUCUUGUUUCAAUCUUUACUGAUUCUGAGAGCAUAUAUUUCAUGAUUUUUGUUAUUUAUUCUUCUGUGUUGCAGGAGAGGAUGUGAUUUCGAUAUAUGUAUUGGUAUCCUUUUAUGCGAAUUUCACAACAUCAAACUUCUCUUGACUCUUCUUUAACUGAUCAAGAUUUUGUUUUGUAUAAUUUUUUGAUAUGAUUCUUCGUUUGAAAAUCAAGAGAUGCGUUUAUCCGCUUUGCAGUGAGCUAAGAAGUUUUGAUGUCUAAAAUGACUUGAUACAAAGGACAAGAACGGAGAUUCAAUAUCCAAUUUCUUCAAUGAGUCAUUCUAUACUAUUUUUAUUUGUUUUUGUGCUUUGAUUUCAAGAUGUAUGAACUGAAGUUUGAACAUGUUUUUCUAGUUUGUCAAAAUAAUAACCUUCUAAUUUGUUAUAAUUCUUUCCAUUUGUAUUCUCUGUCAUUUGUGAUAUAUAUAAUAAUAUAAGAAUAAGAAUCUUCUAUCCUACAUGGGUAUAGGGGGAGCCUAGUGGAGCAGGGAAUAUGCAAUUGGCUGAUGUACUUGUUAUAUUGUGCUUCCAUUCGGUGAUCUCUUUUCUGACUAUGAGUUUUGAUUUGGAGAUCUCCAGUUAAUUAUUUUCAUUUCAGAAGUGUUUCAUUAUUGAUUCUAGGAUGAUAUAUUUCUUUAUUUGUUAUUUUUCUAUAUGGUUUUGCAGGAGAUGUUAUCUAUAAACAAAUCAAACACACAAUUCCUUCUGGUUCUAUCUUCCUCUUAUUUCAUAUUUCAUAUUUUUGUAUUCUCACUAUUUUUUCUUUGGUACUUUGGUCUCCUGAUGUUGAGGUUUGAUUUGGUACUACUAAAAUCAGAAGAAUAUUGAGAUAUUUGUUUAUCUAUUUUGCAGAAAGUUGAACUCUUGAUAUAUGGAACAAUUUGCGAUUAAAAUGGAUAAGAACGAUAAUGGCUAUAGAUACAUAAUCAAAUUUCAUCAAUAAGUCCUUUAUUACUUUUUAUUUUGGCCUUUGAUUGCAAGACAUACAAAUUGAAUUGUGAAUUUGUUUUUCUGCAGCUCGGUUUGUGAAAUUCAAAAUAAUAACUAUCUUCAUCAUAGCGUGGAUCCCUCAUAUUUUGAUUUUCUUAUCAAUCUUAAAAUAUUUUAGUUUUCAACAACUCUUGCUUUUGAAUGCAUAUUUUCUUGAUAUUUUAUUUCCUCUGAUGUUGCAGGGAAGUAAUUUGUGAACACUGAUUCCUUCUGGUUCUAUCUUUCUUUUGUUUGAUAUUCAUGUUUUGUAUUCUUAUUCAUUUCUAGUCUUUUGAUUUGGUUAUGCGCUUUUUACUACUUCUGUAUCCAUGCUUCCCAUUCAUUCUUGGGAUAUAAUUGGUCCUUUUUUUUUAUUUUAAAUUAUAUGUUUUUGUUUCCAAAUAAUAGUUCUUUGAUCGUGUAUAAGUUGGUGUUGAAGUUUUUGUGUUUCUUCUAGUGUUGAAGUUGUGUGUUUCAGUAUCCACAACCUAAGUAUUACUCUGUCAUAGGGUACAUGAUUAUGGAAUAACUCUUUGCCCUUUCCAAGAUGAGAAAUUUUGGACAAUUUGGUUACGUCAUAUGUGUUGUUUGAUUUUAUGAUUUGUUCGUUGGUGACAUAAUAACUUUGUUGGGGAAGGUUUUUGUUAUAAUUUUCAUUUGUUGCUUUUAUUUUGAUUUGUGAUUUAUGAUGAUGAUACUCCUAAAGAGAUAUCAUCUUCAUUACAGUGGCCCAAGGACAAAGCUUUGGCUCCAAGGUACACAAUUCAAUCACUUUUCGCUUUACUCCUCCUUGAUCACAUACUGACUUGAGCCUUGGAGUGCUAACAUGUUUUGCAGGUACCUUCCCCACCGUGAUCCACCGUACCAGAAAUCUAACACCACCGAAACUGCCUUAAGCCUCGCCAUUGGAGUUAUCUCAUUCUGAUCCGAUCAGAACACUCUGUAUUAGGAGGAAGCCAAAGUUGUGUCAUUUCAUAUUGAAUGUAGUUUGUUCCAAUGAAUCAUCAUCUCCAGCUAGCAGGCUUUAAUUUGGUCAUCUCUUCCUAGACUCUUCACAUUUUCAGUCUUUUAUUUGAUACUUAGCAUCUACUUUGUCAGUUCCUUUGUCUUUUCUGUGUGGGUAUUACAGGAGAGAUAUAUAAAUCUGUGGUUUUCUGUGGAACUCGUGGCAGGCAGGUUCACAUACUUACCGUGAAACCGGUCAUUUUUUUUUUUACUUACAUGUGUAUACUUGUUUUGAGAUUUGGAUAUCGUUGGAUUUUUCGUGUAUCCGUGUUAGGAAAGUGAGUAUGAAGCAGUUAAGAUUCUAGGGUACAUAUAUCUUUACCCUCCCAUGGAUGCGUAAUUCUGGACAGCUCGGUUUGGAACUUUUAUGUUGAUUUGCCACUUCCUUUGUUAAAAUUGUUUGUCUAUAUUCUUGUAUUAGUGACAUUUGUGGUAUAUAAAAUAAUACUAACAAGAAUCUUGUCUCCCAAACGGGUAUCUCUCACAGAAUUUGUAAUUGAAGAAAGAACUUGGUAUAGGGAAUGGAACACCAGAAUCUACUCUGACCGAAUUCUUCACGGUUUUUGUUUGUUUUGUGGGUUUUUUUUUCCUUUAUAAUUCCUUUGUCAUUUUGUCAUAGAUUAUCUAUCAAGGACAUGUUUUUGCUUUGGUGUAACAGGCGGGAGAGGGCAUGAUUGUGUACCGCGGGAUUUGAAAGUUGUGGCAGACAUUAUUAAGGAAAUGCUUUGAGCCUUUGCAUUUAACGGGUCAAUUUUCCUUGAAUGUUCUUUUUCUGGAAUAAGUGUCAUAUGACAGUGUCAAUUUUUAUGUUCAGAAUUACGAACCUAAAUAUUAGGGAGAGCUUCAGAAUUACAUAUCCAUAUCUUUCUUGAAUAAUCUUGAGAUAUACAAUCUGUUUUGCAGUAAAUUGAAGUUUGAUAACAAGAACGUUUGUAGAUACUUGAUACAAUGGAUAAGAAAGGAGAUUCAAGAUAAAUCAUGUUUCUUCAAUGUGUCAUUCUUUACUAUUUUUAUUUUCGAGCUUUGUUCAUAAGACAUACGAAUUAAAUUGCGAAUAUACUAUUCUGCAGAAUGGUUUGACAAAAUAAUGUCGUUCUUCAUAACGUAGAGCCUCAAAUUUUGAUUUGGAGGUCUCCAGUAAAUUCUUUUCAUUUUUGUGUUUCUAUAUUUUGAUUCUGAGAGCAUAUAUUUCUUUAUUUAGUAUUUUUUUUUCCAAUGGAUUUUCAGGAGAGGAUAUCCAUGAAAACACAAUUCCUUCUGGUUCUUUAUUUUAUUAUUUUUUCUAUGGUACUCUGGUCUCUUGAUGUUGAGGUUUGAUUUGGUUAUUGCUGGUUUCGAUCGCAGGGUUUGUUGUUCUUAUAUCAAUGAUAUGCUGCUAUGAAUGACUUGUACCGAUUGCCUUUCCAAUUCUUGUUUGAUUAUAUGUGUAGUUAUUUGAUAUAAUUUGUCAUUUGAUAAAUGAACUAUUAAAAAUAAAAGAAUAUUGAGAUAUUCGUUUAUCCAUUUUGCAGCGAGCUGAUCUCUGGAUAUAUGGAACAAUUUGCGAUUAUAAUGGCUAAGAACGAUAAUGACUACAGAUACAUAAUCAAAUUUCUAGGAUGUGUAAAUCUUAAUUAUUUUUAUUUUUUGGGUUUUGAUUGCAAGACAUACAAAUUGAAUUUUGAACAUAUUUUUCUGCAGCGUGGUUUAUCAAAAUCGAUCGUUCAUCGUAUGGAGCCCACAAGUUUUGAUUCGCUUAUCUUAUUUAAAAUAUUAUAGUUUUCGAUAACUCUAUUGCUUUGGAAAGCAUUUUUUCUUGAUAUUUUAUUUUCUCUGAUGUUGCAGGAAGGUCAUUUGUGAACACUGAUUCCUUCUGGAUCUGGUUCUAUCUUUCUUUUGUUUGAUCUUCAUGUUUUGCAUUCUUAUUCAUUUAUGGUCUAUUGAUUUGGUGCUGGCUUUGACCACCUUACAUGUGAAUUUAAGUAUGAUGAUGUUUUAUGCAGUGUAGUGUGUUUUUUUGACGGUAUGCAGUGUAGUGUGUUUUGAAACAAUAACAUUCUGUGUAGUGUCAACUAUCAAGCCUCAGGUUUUUUUUGCUACCACGUACUUGGAUUGUGAAUUAUUUUCAUUUCUAUUCUUAUUGUCCAGUCGAUUUACUUAUUUUAUCUACAUUUUGCCUUUUUAUCUGAAUUCUGACAGUGCAUAAGUUUACAUGAGGAAGUUGGUGGGCAUCUCGUUGUAAUGCUGAUAUGUGACUCGGUUUGAAGAAUUAUGCUACUAUUCUUCUUUUUUUUUACAACCUAUUUUUCCUAGUGUAAUUUUUUCUGUAAAUGCAUCAUGCUGUUGGCAGAGCAAGUUUUACAUGGGUUUGGUGUACCACAGAAGGUUUCUUCUUUCUCAAUCACACUGCACCAUUUUAAUUCGCCAUCUGAAGUGGAGAAUAUUGGAGAUGAGUUUCUUUGCCUCUUUGUACACCUUCUGUGAACAAAUUAACAAGGACACAUGAUGGACGUGUUAUCUAUUUGCUAGGCUUUAAUUUGGAGCUUUGGUGAUCUCUUCUCUGAUUAUGAAUUCUUUACACUUCGGAAUAGUCGUUUCAGCAUCUAUGCUUCUCGAUUCCUUUGUCAAAACUUAGAGUGAGGUUAUCACAUACUCCCCCUUUCUUCCAGUGUUGAAGUUUUUGUUUGUUUUUGUAUCUGUAACUUCAGUUUUACUCUGUGGUUUUGCGUACAAGCGUAGUAACUCUUCCUUUCCCAAGAUGAAUUUUGGACAACUUGGUUAGGUGCUGUUUGUUAUGAUGAUUUGUUUGUUGUCGAUCAAUUGACUAAUGAGAGAUGACAUUUUCCUACAGUUAUUUCCGUUGUUAUUUUUGAUUCUUGAUGUAUACUCCUAAAAUUAUAUCCUAAUUGUUACAGUGGCCUUAGGACUCCUCUGGUAUUAGGUUGAAGAUUAAAUUGUGACAUUUCAUAUUGACUACAAGAUAUUCCAAUCUGGAUGGAAAUUUGUUCAAACGAACUAUCAUGUUCUGCGAGCUGUGUUCUAUGCUUGAUUUGGUCAUCUCUACUAAUAUAGACUCUUUACAGUUCAGAGACUUGUCAAAAUAAAACCAGUAAUUUGACCUGUGGCAAGCAGAGGUUAACAUACUACCAUUCAGCCAUGGGAUCAAACCAGUAAUUUUUUUUCCACAUCUGUUUGUUUUGAUAUUGGAGAUAUUUGUCUUUUGAUGGUGAGUCCUGUUAGUGUUGGAGUUGUUUUGUUUUUGUAUCAGCUGCAUGAACAUUGAAGCAUAGAAGAUUCAAAGUAUAUCUCUUUGCUCACGCCAAGGAUGAGGAUUUAUGGACAGUUUGGUUUUAGCUCUCUUUUGUUCUGUUAAUUUACCACUGCCUUUGUUAUUGAUUCUUUUUAUUGUUUUCUGGUCCUUUUUUAUAUAAGAAUCUUCGCUCCUAAAUGGGCAUCUGUCACAGUGGGAAAGCAUCUGGUGAUUUCUACUCUGAAUAUGAACUUCAUGUUUCUUUCUUUUCAAUAGUGUCAAGCCUCGAGUAUAAGUUAUUGUUCAUUGUUUAUGUAUUGAUUCUUAUUGUUUAUCCUUCUUGAUUUACAGGACCAAUAAAUAGAAGGUCUGACACUUCUCCCAACAGUUUGGGGUGCUCAGGCAAAGAUAAAUAUAUGAAUGUGCGACUAUGGCGGAGAUUAUAAUCCUUUGGGGGUUUACUUACCCUAAUACUAUGCUUUCUUACAGAUGUUUGCCCUAGAUUUGUUAUUUGUUUGUAUCAUUCCUGAGAAUCUGUGUAUGUUUUAGUUUUGUGCAGUGUCCCAAGGACUCAUCUGUAUAAUGAGGAUGCCUAAAUUGCAUCAUUUCAUAUUGAUUACAAAUUCUUGGAAAUUGGAAGGAAAAUUGUUCCAUUGAAACAAUGGGUGUGUUGAAUACUUGGCAUCUACUUUUGCAUUUCCUUUGAGUUUUCUGUGCGGUUGUUAGAUGGCUUAUGAAUGUGUGCUAUGCUGUGGAGCCCGUGGCAGGCUGUGGUUAACAUACUAUCCAUUCAAUUCACGGCCUUGGGAUCUGUCAUGUUUCUACUGAAAUUUGUUGUGUCCUGCCAGUCUUGGUGAUUUUGCGUUUCUGCAUCAAGAACGUGAGAAAUAAAGCAUACAAGAUUCUAUCUUUUCUCUGGAUACUUAAGCUGCUUUGGAACUUUACUUCAUCCGUCUAUUAUAGUUCAAAUCUGGUUGUGACAUGUUCUCAUUGUUAGUUUUUUAUGAGGGUCUAGUUGUCGCGAUUCCUUUGUGAGUUCCAUGCGGGUGUCGGGGAUAUGGAUUGUGUGAUGCUAUGGACAUGGACCUGUGAAAGUACAAGGUAAUGUACCGAAGGAAUGUUAAAGCUGUGGAGGAUAAAAUUGUUGAACAUGUGAUUCCUUUCUGGUUCUGUCUUACUCAUGAUUGUAUUCUAUCUGGUUUGUGGUUUCGGUUUCUUUUUUGCUUCUGAAGUUGUCUGUACUUGAUUUCAUGAACCUAGUAAUCAAGCUGCUUUCUGUCUUUGCUGGUUUCAAUCAGAGUUUAUUGUUUGUACUUUCAAAUUUUGUUGGCUUGUCCAUGAAACUCUUCUGAAUUUGCAAAAAAUCGUGUCAUUCUUUACUGACAUAAUCAUCCUUCAGAGGUCAUAGUUGGACAGUGCAUCCAAAUUGUGCAACCAUUAGGUGAAAGCAUUUGGCUAUGGAAAAUCCCCGACCAUAAAUCUUACAGGGAACAAGUGAGAUGUGUUCGUUCACGGUCUUUUGGCAUAAUUAAGAUUUGAUGAUGAUUGUGCAUGCCUACUCUAAAACAUAACAUUCUUCAACCGUGUAAUCAGGUUGAGGUGACAUAAUAUCAAAAUUUCACUGUUUUUUAAUCGGUAUCUGAGGAUAAAGCGAUAUCCCAUGUUUCAAAUGUCAUUGAAGGCCCGAUCAGGAUUUCUUGGAUCUGUGAGUUUUGUAAUACUCACUAACAAUCAUUGGCUCUAGUUAAAUCUGGUUUGUUCAUUGAAUUGUUUGGUAUUCAUUUUUCAGGCUUUGAUCGUGCAUCAUAUCAUGAACCUCUUUUAUGCAUAGUAGUGUGUUAACAAACAAUGAAGUUAUAUGUAAUAUCAAGCCUGUGUAGAACUUCAUAGGGAGACUGCACAUGAAGAAAAACCUAGUAAAAAAUCCUACAUUUUAUAAAAUUUGUGCAAUGAAUUUUUCUGUUACGGUUGUUCAAAAAGAAAAAAUUUGCUGUUACUAUUGUUAUCAUUUAUCAUCUAGAAUAUAAUGAAAUAUCCCUGGUAUAAGAUGUAUUUAUAGAGCUUUAUUUUGCAUAAAUUUCAUUGGUAACUCUUCCUACAACAACAUAUUCUAAUGAUUAAGUAAUCAGAAGGAUUAAGUCUCUGCUGCUUCAAAGAAAUUUUUCAUCAGCCCCUACACAAGAUUCAAAAUGAAUCUUUCAACAUCAUGUCCACUUGAAUCUUCUUGCAUCAAGUCUACAUAACCUUAGCAGAAAAAUGAAAUUUAAGUGAUAUGAACAUGAGAGGUAAAUGAGACUGGGAGGGAAAAUGUACAAAGAAAUCUUUCUUUUAAUAAUGUUUUCUGAUCUUUUUAACAUGCGGAAGGUAUAUGUGGUAAAUUUUUUUGACUUCUGAACAUUUGAUAAUAUUAUUAUAGAGUUCAGUGCACAUCAACUAAACUUUAUAAUGUUCUUCAACCUCCUGAAAUACUACAAACAACUAAACUUUAUCUUUUCCAAUUUUCACUUUUAUAUCCAAUUUUUUUUCUGAGGAGACAAUAGGUUAAAUUAAAAAAGUUUUCAAUCACACUUUUUCAAUAUGAACAUGAUAUCUCUGAUAAGGAAGCGUCGAGAGCAACAAGACACCACAUCUCCUUUGAAACCUUACGACAUUAGGUAUAUCCUAUAUGAGUCAAAGUAAUCAAGUAAGUGAUAAUAAUUACAUCAUAUUUAAAUAAAAAUGUAUUUUCAGUUUCUUAUUACUUUGUGCUAACAUCAUUGUCAUCAUGAUUCAUAUGAUUGAUAAUAGUAUAUGUAUGUGUUUUUUGUAAUAUGGGCACAGAAAAGAGAAGAAUAUAAAUGACGUGUAGACAUGAUUUCCUUGCAGAACCUUCAUAUUUUUAUUUUUGUUUUAUCACAAUUUUGUUAGUUGUUAACUAGUUUUGUGUUUAUUAUUACUAGUUACAGAAGCACAAGAUCAAUGCAAUGCAUGCUAAAACUAACUGAAUUUCGACAAGCUACGGUUAGACGGAGUCAAUUGCAUAAUUUGAGAGGGAGUUGAAUGUUCCCUGCAAUUAGAGAAGCAAAAAUUGAGGAAGAAGGGAAUAAUUGUUAUUGAUCAGCUUCUCUAUUUUGAAGUUUUCUUUAAUCUGGAACGUUCAAAAGAUGUUAUAACGGCAGUGUAGUGCAUCUCAACACAGCAAGGUAAGGAAUAAUAAUAUUAAAGAAGAUUAUAACUAUUAUUCCUCAAAGCACUGCUCAAUUACUAAGAACUAAAUUUGAUCAAUGAGAAUGCAAAGCAGGGAGGCAGUUGAUACAUAUAGAACAAGAUAAAACACCAUAACCAAACUAUAGAGUAACAGGGCGGCCGGUAUAUAAUAAUCUAUGCAAUAGAAAAACCACAAUCCAAUUAAGUAGCAGUAACAGAAAAGUUCUUCUAGCUAUUGUUCAAAACAAAAGCUUGAACUUCAGCAGAUUGAUAAUGCAGGUUCCUUUCAAAGAUCAUCAAAUUAACAAACUAGUUUGUUGAUGUCAAAGUUGAUUCAUGUUCUGUCACAUUCAAGAGGUCUCCUAGUCCAAUAGUUAAGGUAAACUUUGAUGUCAAGGAAGCUCUAAGGAGGCUCAAAGCCUACACCACAAGUAAAGGGAGUAUAAAAGAGGUUAAAAUAACAGGAAAAAAGAAAAAGACAAAUUUCCGUAAUAAAUAAGAGUCAACUUACCUCAACUUCACCAAUGCUAAUCACCUUCACUUAUAGAUCAUCAAAGGGAAUGCUAGAUUCUUUAAAAUAUGAAAGGCAAGAAUUAGCAGAAAGUGGUUUUACUGUUAGAUCAUCUCCUACACCAUAUAACGCUGCUUUCUUCACAAAUCCUACAACACCUUCUCUUGACCUGUUGGGGGAUCUUGGAUCCAGUUCAGUCAAGACCUUUCCAUUAAAAAUUGAUGACAUUGACUUAGAAAUCACUCCUCCCGCUAUCUUUAUUUCUGUGUUUACAUAAGAUUUAAGAAUAGAAUUAUACACUUGCGAUGGAAGCCCAGUACCAUAAUAAUAUGUCGUGAGUUGUGGUUGUAUAGCAGGAAUGUUGAGGGGUUGGUUUGGACAACCAAAAUGUGGUGCUAUACCAGGAUUGAGUAACACAGAAGUGGGGACCAAGUUCUCUACACUCUUGUACAAAUUACCAACACAUCCAGCAAAAGAGUUAGUUACCAAAACCUUUACAAUGGACCCUAAUGGCAUGGUAAGGAAGCUAAAAAUGAAGUUAACAAAUUCUCCAUCGGCUUCUGCGAAGAUUAUCUUUUUCUGAGAUUUACUUUGCACAACCUUAAUAUCCGUUUUAUUGCUAUCACUAGUGCAAGGCCUUACUCUAACUGCUGAUGAAGAUUGGUUAGGCGGGCUGUAUUUGUUCUGGGAGCAACUUCUCAGAAUUGCAUUUGUUAGCGGCUCAUGAGAGGCACAAAGAAGUCAUAACGGAACUAGGCACAAUCUUCAAAUCGUAAAACACCAAAAAAGUUGGUCCAUUUUCUCUAACAACGACUCUAUUUUGGGCAUCCACAAUAGUCCCUUAGAAUCCAAAUCUUGAAGCUAUGUAUUUAUUGGUUUUCCACAGGUGCAUUCAAGGUUUUUAAAAGUAGUAAAUGUCUUACAAGAAUCACACACAAAAAUCUUACUUGAUGGCUCAGUGUCAUCAACAUUCAAGAGCAGCUUCAUGCACAAUGCUUCACAGGGAUUCCUGGGAUGCAGCAACAUUUGUCUGCAGACAGCAUUGUUCCAAACAUCGUUUGAGUCGAGGUUUUGGACAGUUUGGUAGAGGUUGUUGAUACUGCCAAGGAAUGGUGAUGAUUCGGAUUGUUGUUGUUGGUCAUUGUUGUUGGUGGAUUAAAGGCGAACAAUGUUGCUAAGUGGAAAAGAUAAGAAGCUGAAAAGAGUGCCAACAAAGUCUUUGGUUGCUUCGACAAAUACAAUUUUGUUGCUUUUUUUGUGCAUUAAGAUUUUGAGGGGAAUUGUUUUUGUAUCUUCUUGAGGUUGUUCAGAAGCCAUGGCAGCAAGUUGUUGUAUAUACCAUUCAUUGUUCAAUUCUCCGUUCAAACCGUUUCAAAAAAAAUCUUCAUUCAAACAAUUAUCCAAAUUCCUAGUACCUUGAUAAGGAUUGGAAUGCAUAACUCUCCUGAUAAAUACAUUAAAUUUACAAUUAAGGCCAUUCUUUUAUUGAAUAAAAGAAGAGAAA